rnacentral:rRNA from 1 species
AGUGAACGCUGGCGGUAGGCCUAACACAUGCAAGUCGAACGGCAGCACAGUAAGAGCUUGCUCUUACGGGUGGCGAGUGGCGGACGGGUGAGGAAUACAUCGGAAUCUACUUUUUCGUGGGGGAUAACGUAGGGAAACUUACGCUAAUACCGCAUACGACCUGCGGGUGAAAGCAGGGGAUCUUCGGACCUUGCGCGAUUGAAUGAGCCGAUGCCGGAUUAGCUAGUUGGCGGGGUAAAGGCCCACCAAGGCGACGAUCCGUAGCUGGUCUGAGAGGAUGAUCAGCCACACUGGAACUGAGACACGGUCCAGACUCCUACGGGAGGCAGCAGUGGGGAAUAUUGGACAAUGGGCGCAAGCCUGAUCCAGCCAUACCGCGUGGGUGAAGAAGGCCUUCGGGUUGUAAAGCCCUUUUGUUGGGAAAGAAAAGCAGCAGGUUAAUACCCCGCUGUUCUGACGGUACCCAAAGAAUAAGCACCGGCUAACUUCGUG